rnacentral:lncRNA from 1 species
ACACACUUUCUCUCUCUCUUUCAUACACACACACACACACACACACACACAAACAGAAACAUACGUCGAUCAAUGCAGCUACUAUUUGAUCGAGCAGACGACAUUACGAACAGAAUACAUCUACGACCUGCAGCAAUUAUCCAGGGAAGACUAAGGACGUUCAAAUAGCAAAUGUGAGCAGAAACGAAUCCAAAAACCUAAUCUCCGGUGAUAUUGCAGAGAUAAUAAAAAAGCGACUUGCUGAUAUUUCAAGCGGAGUAUAAGAUUUACCUCCCUUGACUCUCCUUCAAUGACCUCACCGAGUUGCUGACCUCAUUCCUACAGACCAACUAAAACUGUCCGCAUCCAACCAUUCAACUGUUGCCAUCCAGCUACCGCUAUGCUUGGACACCGCCAUUAAUGAUUGUGAAAACGAAGUAUUUACAGUAAUAGCCAUUCUCACAUAUAAGACUUCCGUUAUAAACAAGAAAUUCCAGGAGCUUUUCAACAGCAGUUAUAGUGUGUAUUUUCACUUCAAAAACCUUCAGUCUUCUAUACUAUAUUGCAGCGACUGGGUUUCCUAUUUUUUUAAAGUAUAAUUAAUGUUCCAAGAUGUAUUUAUUGACGCCUGCAAUUGCGACUAAAAAAAACAUGCGGGCGCGUGCGGAAAUAUGGAAAUUCUUAUUUUGUAGGAAUAUGCAAUGAAUAAGCACUUGACGCUGUAUAAAACGAGAACGAUGGGUCGGCGGACAGAAAGACACGAAAUGCCAGCUCAAGUGUGAUUAAUGUCGACUUGGGCUAUUUCAUCAAUUAUUACAUUUCAUACUGCAUAUUUUUCCAUGUAACAUUGCAUUAUCUCAUCUCAUCUUUCUAUUUUCUAAUGUCAUGUAUACGUUGAGGCAGCUGAAAAUAUAGGACACUGCAAUUUUGUGCAGCUAUAGACCAAAGGACUGUAAGUUGCAUCGAUGCGCAUGUGUGGAGUUUUUAUAUCCGUAUUCUGUCACACACACACGCACGCACACACACACACACACACACACACGCAUGUACACGCACUCACACACACGCACAUACGCGCGCGCGCGCGAUCGAAAUCAUGCAAUUUCUCAGUGAAAAAUAUGAUUUGCAUUUUGUAAAUUUGAUGUUGCCAAAUAAAUAUUAUCUUACGCCAUCUUAUCUUGACUAUUCCAUUUCUCUUUAACAAUCAUGUCGAGAUGUCAAAUGUAAUCCAAGAAAGCUUCUGGCAUAUGUGUUGGUUGAUUUA